UACGGGGGGGGCAAGCGUUGUUCGGAAUUACUGGGCGUAAAGCGCACGUAGGCGGUCAGUCAAGUCGGGUGUGAAAGCCCUGGGCCCAACCUGGGAAUUGCAUUCGAAACUAUCUGACUCGAGUAUGGGAGAGGGAAGCGGAAUUUCCGGUGUAGCGGUGAAAUGCGUAGAUAUCGGAAGGAACACCAGUGGCGAAGGCGGCUUCCUGGACCAAUACUGACGCUGAGACGCGAAAGCGUGGGGAGCGAACAGG
rnacentral:rRNA from 1 species